AUGCUAAGGAUGGAUGAUAGUGAAGAUGAGGAGGAGACGAACUUGGGCAAGCCCGAGGGAACCAAGAAGGGCAAGCUAAGGGUGAAGAUGGAAGAAGAGGCGUCAAGCCUAAGGGAGAAGAUGGAACACAUGAUGAAGGCAAGAGAGGAAUUGACAACGAAGACAUUGGAGACGAAGCUUCUUAUCACCGAGAAGAAGAAAGAGGUCAAGCUUGCACAAAUUGAAGCAAAGCGUGAAGAAGCAAAGCGCAAGGCCGAGUUGGAGGAGAGGAUGAUCAAGCUCAAAGAGGCAAAGGUAUGGAAAGAACUCACGGUGGAAGAGAAAGAGCACAUGAUGAUGUCCAAGAAGGACAUGGAUCAAGACCAAUUGCAAUGGUGGAAGGACUACAAGGAGGACAUCACGGAGAGGAAAAGGAUGUUCCGUGUUGCGUCCUCUACUUUUCGAGGUGACACUCCGAUGAGUAGCUGUGGUGAUGGCGGUGUGUAUGACUCCACCGGUGUCCAUGGAGAUGCUUGA
rnacentral:rRNA from 1 species